AAGAAAACAUAUGAUCACAUACACAAAAUUACAGACCUUAACUACACCUACACUUAACUAAUAUAAAAAAACUAACUUGAAAAAGGGAAAUUAGGGCAUAACCCUGUAGACUUUAGUAGCUUAAUAAUACAAGCUAGUCAUAUAGUUCUCCCACAAACACCCUAAGUGGAAACACCUGUCCUUUGCAAAGCCACAGCUUGCAGAGGCUUCUUCAUUUCACAAGACAGCCUUAGGACCUCACUGAGAUCCACUGGGUUUGCCAAAUCCUGAACCCACUGGAACUGGUGCACCAGCUUAGCCACCCAAAGGGUCACUGUCACUAGCCCUAGAUUCUUCCCAGGGCAAAUCCUACGCCCUG
rnacentral:misc_RNA from 1 species